rnacentral:rRNA from 1 species
AGCGAACGCUGGACGGCAGGCCUAACACAUGCAAGUCGAACGGAUCCUUCGGGAUUAGUGGCGGACGGGUGAGGAACACGUGGGAACGUGCCUUUUGGUUCGGAACAACUCAGGGAAACUUGAGCUAAUACCGGAUAAGCCCUUCGGGGGAAAGAUUUAUCGCCAUUAGAGCGGCCCGCGUCUGAUUAGCUAGUUGGUGAGGUAAAGGCUCACCAAGGCGACGAUCAGUAGCUGGUCUGAGAGGAUGAUCAGCCACACUGGGACUGAGACACGGCCCAGACUCCUACGGGAGGCAGCAGUGGGGAAUCUUGCGCAAUGGGCGAAAGCCUGACGCAGCCAUGCCGCGUGAAUGAUGAAGGUCUUAGGAUUGUAAAAUUCUUUCACCGGGGACGAUAAUGACGGUACCCGGAGAAGAAGCCCCGGCUAACUUCGUG